CCUACGGGAGGCAGCAGUGAGGAAUAUUGGUCAAUGGACGGAAGUCUGAACCAGCCAUGCCGCGUGCAGGAAGACGGCUCUAUGAGUUGUAAACUGCUUUUGUACAAGGGUAAACCUGAAUACGUGUAUUCAGCUGAAAGUACUGUACGAAUAAGGAUCGGCUAACUCCGUGCCAGCAGCCGCGGUAAUACGGAGGAUCCAAGCGUUAUCCGGAUUUAUUGGGUUUAAAGGGUGCGUAGGCGGGUUUGUAAGUUUGAGGUGAAAUGUCCGAGCUUAACUCGGGAACUGCCUCUAAUACUGGUGGACUAGAGAGUAGGUGCGGGAAGCGGAAAUGUAGGGGG
rnacentral:rRNA from 1 species